rnacentral:lncRNA from 1 species
CGAUAAUCAGCCGCAUCUUUUGGGCGCGGGCGAUCAGGUAGAUCCUAUCGCUCCACCACCAUGUCGCGUCGCGAGACUUCACUUCAGGUUGAUCAACUAUCGAGGAGUAUAUCAGUGCGUGAUGAUUAGCCUGAGCUACCUCGUCAAAGGUGGAAUUCUAGAGGGUGACUUAAGUCCCAGUUCAGCACGUUGUUUUCAGGACUAAGUUCUUUGACGGUGUCAGUAAUCAGUAAGAAUGAGUGUAUGGUCGAGACAAUUUUGAACACAGAAAGCUUCACUUAUGAUAAAUUAGCUAAUGAAUUGAUUGACCCUGUAAGUUUGGCAAGCUUGCUAGGGCUGCAAGGAAUUGUGCUUAUAUUACUGGAUAAAUUUCCCAACCUCGUGAACAAUAAGAACACCACCUGUGGAUACACACCGAUUUUUUUCGCUGCGAUCAAGAGACACUACAGAAUUGUUCAAAUCCUGAUUGAGAGAGGUGCAGACUUGAGCAUUCGAAACUCAGCCAACCAUACACUUCUGGAAGUUGCGAUGAUGAUGAACGACGCAGAGUUGGUAGCUUUCCUUAGUGCUAAGUCAGGGGUCGAUGACUUACGGAAACCGAGGUGCCACCCCCGUUUGUACACUCCCCCGCGUUGUCUAAAGCGCGUCGGAGUGUCACCCCCGUCGCCAGCAAAGCCAUAUUUAAAACCUGAUAAGAGGAAAUUAGCCAGCCCAGUAUCCACACCAAAAACUCGACCGCUCCGUCAGAUGAAUAACAACCUUCCAAACAGGAACAUCACUCUUCAAAACAACUCUUUCGAACCGAAUGACCAGUUUUCAGACAUCUCCUUUUCCGACUCUUCAAGUUUUUUCUCCAACGAUUUCGUGCCACUUGCAAAAUCUUCUCUUGCCUUCAGAAACUCUUCUUCGUCGAACACUCCCUCCUUCAAUGACAACAAUUCCAGUUUCUGCGCCUCUCCUAAGCUGCAAUCUGCACUGCUGUCUUCACCAUACUCUUUCCAACAGGCGCCCUGUCCAUCACCCAGACUUCCAUUACCGAACUGCACCUAUUAUCACUAUUCAGUAUCCGACGUUCCAACGCUAACAACAUCUCCAGCGACUCCAUACUUGCCGUCACCAGACUGCUCCUAUUUUCACUAUUCAUCGCCGACACCUCUCCAGAACUCUACACUUCCACGUACUCCACUUACCACUCCUAAAAAUUUCUUGCAUCCCACUAAAAGCUUCGCACCCUCCCAUACUCCAGUCUCAACCCCAAACUCUGCUCGGUCCUUGAUGGUUCCUCAACUCCUCAACACACCUCAGUCACACGAUCGUAAAUUUUUACACCCUCAAAGGCUGACGUAUCAACAGCCCAGGUCUUUUAUUGCCUCAUACGUGACUCCGCUACGAAUUAGGAACAAGAAGGUGCCAUUGAGGACUAAACUGCUGGAUAAACUGUACAGAAGAGAGAAGUUGAUAAAAAAUGAUGAGAAUCAAAAUUUGGCACCAGUCUGUACUGAUGAUCUCGAGAGUGUUCUGGAGUAUUUGGGACUUGAAAAUACUAUAAACUUUUUGAGUUGAACCAGGUAAUUUUCCUUGCAACAUACCGUUGAUUUGUUGAGUUACUUAGAAAAUGGGUGAACUGAUUUUUCUCAGUUCUGAUCAGGGACAUUUUGGCUGUGAGAUUUCAAAAUGAGUAACUAAAAAUACAAUAAAUUCAAAUAAAAUCUCUGGACACCUGUUCAAAUUUACAUUCAUGCAGGUUGUCAACGGAUACAGUGAAAAAAUUUUCCUAACUUUUCCAGGUUUUCAAAUCUAAAUCAUCAAAAUUCAUUGACUUCUCACAUUGACAAUUAUAACCGCAUACCUAGAUCUGAAAAUAAAAUUUCUUCGGAAUUAAUUUCCCUGCUAAUGACGAAAAAAAUAAACCUAUUUUCUUCAAGUCUUGAUCAUUUACUGGAUUAAAAUUGCAACUUGUUGAAAACUAUUUCUCUUUCCAGUAUUUAGAGUGCGGCUUAAAGCACUAAGCCGAGAACGAUACUAGAACUUUGUGUGAUUUUGUGGACAGCACUGAUCCUUUUAUAGAUUUCAAGUUGCUGCAUUUUUUAAAAUUCCGAGCUUUUCGGAGAUUUCCCUUAUCUGAUGAAUUCCCUCACAAUAACCUAGUUUUUAGACUUGUAGACAUCCUGUAUCACCAAGACUGUCUGUUGCAUCUCGAUGGCCUAAGUCUGAAGACAUUUAUCUCUUACGUUUGUGACUUUGCAGACUUCCAGUCAUAAUUUAUUUUUCUUUCGGAAAACUAGUCACUGUGAUUUCUUGAAAACUUCCCUGAUUUUUCUUUUCUGUCAGCAGAAUAUUUUGUAAGAAUUUCGAACUAUUUAAUAUGGUAACGCACUUUGGCCAUCGAUCUGGGAAAACCUAGCUUCUGCAAGACUCACGUAAGGUGCCACCACGAGACUUUGAAAAGGCCGUGACAAAUCUUUGUCUAAAAAGUUGAAUGCAAGAGUGAAUUAAAGACAUACGUUUUUAUUUACUUCAGGUGGAGCCAGAAAUUUUGAGUACUUUCACUGAGGUUGAUUUGGAAACGAUGGGAAUUGAGGACAAGAAGACUCGCAAGACUAUUUUGAAAAAAAUCAGGAAAGGUUUGCUUGAUGCAAACACAUGACUUUUUCAGUGUUUCGGUUCUAGCUUAUAAGAUUUUCUUCAAGUUUUAGGCGUUAAUCAGUUAAUUUUGGCGCAUGUUUUCUACUUAAAAUGCAUGACUGCUUAAGAUUAACAUCUUCUGUAUUGACUUUUUAGAUUUACUUUUAGUUUAAGGCUUUUAUUAGUUUAAUUACCGCACGUUUUCUCAAGUUUAAAUUCAUGACUGCUUAGCAUUAACAUCUACAUACUUUUCAGUUGAGUUUUAGCAUUUUAGACUUACUUUGAAUUUAGAUUUUAUAAGUUUUAAUACCAAAUGCAUUUUCUUCGUAAAAAUUUGAACAAGUUAUAUUAAAUGGACAUUAAGAACUGAUUUUUGACAACUUUUAUCUAUUAAUAUAACUUUGAAUGCCUCAGUGCGUACUCAUUUGACAGUUUUAAAAGUUUCUGCAUUAAUCUUUACUUUUUCAAAUUUGCAACACUAUAGGACAAAGACAAAAGCUUGAUUAUUUUCACCAACUCGCAAAUUUACUGUUUCACAACUAUUCAUUAUUUCUAGAUUUUGUAUUUUUAAUGUUUUUUACGAUUACAGUAAAACCUCGAUUUAUCGGAUUUCACGGGACCGAGACCAAAUCCGUUAAAUCGCGGAAUCCGUUAAUUCGAAUUAGCGGAUUUCGGCGAAAAUCGACAAAAAUCCGUAAAAUCGAGUUUUUUUCCGGAAAAAUUCUAAAGAUCUCUAUUUUCCCCCCUGGAAGUUUUCCCUUGGAAAAAACGUGAAUUGUGUCGGAUUGUAACUGUUGUGGCGUGGUGUUUAAUUGUCUUACUUUUUGCCGUGUCUGACAAAUCUUUUGCAGUUUUCUGGUCUUCGCUUUAAUCUCAUCAUAUUUAGAAAUGAUCUCGAGCUUUUCCUCCACGCUGUAGGACCGCUGCGUUUUCUUAUCACUCAUUGUCACUCGACAAUCCGAUGUUUCUAUCACUAACACUCUAUAAAGAGCACCAAAACUUCCGAUGACAACACGAUAAUACAAUCCAAACGACAACACGAUAAUACAAUCCAACGACAACACGAUUUUACAAUCCAAACGACAACACGAUAAUACAAUCCAAACGACAACACGAUAACGCACGGCGAGAUAAGACAUGCAAUUAAUGCAUCCGACUGUUGUUGUUUGUGUUUUGUUUUGAUUGGGGAUGAACAGGUGAUUUAUGCAAAUCAGCUGUCUAAUUAGUACAGCCAUUGACCGUUGACCUUGAGUGGUACGCGCGCACGUGUCACGAGGGUGCGGGUGCGCGGAGGGUGCGCAUCUUUUGAAAACGAUACGCGAGGGCGAGACAUGACUUGAGAUCUUACGAAUUGGCGAAUUGGCGGGGAGAAAAAAAAAAAGUGACCAAAAUUACGAUCCGUUAAAUCAAAUCGGGUCGAAAUCUCAAUCCGUUAAUCAGCAAAUUUUUAACAUUGAUCAUAUGGGUCCCUCUGAAGGGACCGGAGGAUCGAUCCGUUAAAUCGCGGAAUCCGUUAAAUCGCGAUCCGAUAAAUCGAGGUCUUACUGUAUUAUUAUUAACAUCAAUAUACCAUCAAUAAAGUUCAUUCAAUUUAGAUCCCUACUUAAAUUACAUUUUUUUUAAAUUUUGAAACUCUCGAGGGUAGAGUCAUUCUUUGCAGACAAGAUACAAAAAGGAAUUAAAAGCAUAUGUUCUUGGAACCACUGCUUUGAUUAUAAGAAACUGAGGCAUUUUAGGGAGAGUACUUUAGUGUGAGUCACUUUGCAAAAUUUCAGAAAGCUGACUCAUGAGCAGCUGCCUCAAGUUGGUUUAAAGUUACAAAUUUUAAAUAACAAUCAUCUUUUAUAUUAUUUUUCUACCCUCCGACAUCUACAACAAGCCGAUUAAAACCUUCCUAUUGUUUUUCUAGAAUUUUUAAUUCUGGCGCUUAGGUCUUUCUGAGAAUGACCAAUUCAAUUUAGUACCAAAUCUUGGGACAUAUUAAGUCCUUCUUUGCAAUUUUUGCUAAAAUUCGUAGUCAAUUUACACCUAAGAAAUUUCAACAAAUUUGUCUCCGACAAAUCCAGAAUUUGUUUGCUUUUUAGCUACUUCUGAACAGAUCUCAUGGGAUGCAGCGUUAUUCUACAGUUUUUUAACCGGUAGGUAAAUACAUUUAAGGUUAUUUUUCCAAUUAAUUUUAAGGAUUCAAAGUUGAUUCACUUUCUAGUUAUGCUUUCUUCCGUGCAACAAUUCUGUUCUGAUACACUUGCAGUCAGUAAGCAGGAAGAUGAGUAAAAAUAGAGACUUACCAGAUUGCUCAGACAGCUUGGUUUGACACUUCCUGGUUCUCUUUCUCUUUGUCCAACAGUCUAAUAAUUUUAGCGAUCAAGUCAGGUUUCCUAUCUUUAGUUUGGACGAUGACUCCGUUCUUGCGCAGGUAAUACUGCAGAGUAGGAAUGUUCACCUGUCCCAGCAGUCCUCUCUGCGCGUGAUCUUUCAUAUCAAUGCUGUCAUUGACAGCAGCUUUUUUGGGUUUUUUCUCUGCCUGUUGGACACAACAAGAAGACAGACUUUCAACACAUGGACAGUGCCAAUACGAAGAAACGUACUUUAAUAGAUCAUUACGCAGGGUGAGAAAUGAAGUAUCGAAACAUGUGAAAAACCAUUCAGAAAAUGGGCGCAUGUCCAUUUGGUGCUGACAAGAUUAUGGAACUUUGCUACUCUUUUCUUCUGAUGGAAAUUUGCUUGACUUUGCAGAAAGUUUUCGGUGAAUGACUUCAUAAAAUUACAGUUACAUUAUACAGGGUGUCCGGAAGUUAACGUACUUAACUUUUAGGAUCGCUUUUUCGGCUCAAAAUAUGACUUUUUUUUCCGAUACACAUAUGCCCGAAAACGCUUCAUUAAUGAGCUACGCGCUUCCAAAGUUGCCAUUUUUUUUCUUUGAAAUUAAUGUAAAUCCUCGUCAUUUUUUCAUAAGUGGCUGAAACUUU